rnacentral:ncRNA from 2 species
UUUCUAUCCAGAGAGGCGGAGGGACUGGCCCAAUGAAACCUCGGCAACAGACUAUACUGUGCCAAUUCCAGCAAGCGAAUGCUUGAAAGAUAGGAA